rnacentral:misc_RNA from 1 species
UCUCCGUAGGUGAACCUGCGGAGGGAUCAUUACUGAGUGAGGGCCCCCGGCCCGACCUCCAACCCUUUGUGUAUCUCGACCCUGUUGCCUCGGGGGCGACCCGGCCUUCGGGCGUCGGGGCCCCCGGUGGACCACCCAACCCUGCAUCGUUGCGUCUGAGUCGAAAUAUAAAGCAAUCAAAACUUUCAAAAACGGAUCUCUUGGUGCUGGCAUCGAUGAAGAAAGCAGC